rnacentral:rRNA from 1 species
GAUGAACGCUGGCGGCGUGCCUAAUACAUGCAAGUCGAGCGAACAGAUAAGGAGCUUGCUCCUUUGACGUUAGCGGCGGACGGGUGAGUAACACGUGGGUAACCUAACUAUAAGACUGGGAUAACUUCGGGAAACCGGAGCUAAUACCGGAUAACAUUUGGAACCGCAUGGUUCUAAAGUGAAAGUUGGUUUUGCUAUCACUUAUAGAUGGACCCGCGCCGUAUUAGCUAGUUGGUAAGGUAACGGCUUACCAAGGCAACGAUACGUAGCCGACCUGAGAGGGUGAUCGGCCACACUGGAACUGAGACACGGUCCAGACUCCUACGGGAGGCAGCAGUAGGGAAUCUUCCGCAAUGGGCGAAAGCCUGACGGAGCAACGCCGCGUGAGUGAUGAAGGGUUUCGGCUCGUAAAACUCUGAUAUUAGGGAAGAACAAACGUGUAAGUAACUGUGCACGUCUUGACGGUACCUAAUCAGAAAGCCACGGCUAACUACGUG